AAAGAUUUGCCCACUUCGGGGGGGACAUUGGAAUGAACACUCAUCACGUCACCUGGCAUAUGGAAUUCCCAUUCUGGUGGGACGAUAAAUACAGCCAUCAUCUGGAUCGCAAAGGAGAGAAUUUCUUCUGGGUACAUCAUCAACUUACCGUUCGUUUUGAUGCUGAACGUCUCUCCAAUUAUUUGGAUCCCGUCGACGAACUUCACUGGGAGAAGCCAAUCGUACAAGGUUUUGCUCCCCACACCACAUACAAGUAUGGAGGACAAUUCCCCUCUCGUCCAGAUAAUGUGAACUUCGAGGAUGUGGAUGGUGUUGCUCGUAUUCGAGACUUGCUUAUUGUAGAGAGCCGAAUCCGCGAUGCUAUUGCACAUGGUUAUAUCGUCGACAGGGCUGGUAAUCAUAUUGAUAUCAUGAAUGAGCGUGGCAUUGACGUUCUUGGAGAUGUUAUUGAAUCAUCUUUGUACAGCCCUAAUGUGCAGUACUAUGGAGCCUUGCAUAAUACUGCUCACAUUGUACUUGGUCGACAGAGUGAUCCACAUGGAAAAUAUGAUUUACCCCCUGGUGUGCUAGAACACUUUGAAACUGCCACCCGUGAUCCUAGCUUCUUUAGGCUGCAUAAAUACAUGGAUAACAUCUUCAAGGAACACAAGGAUAGUCUCCCUCCAUACACCGUGGAAGAAUUGACCUUUGCCGGUGUAAGUGUAGACAAUAUAGCAAUUGAAGGUGAACUAGAGACCUACUUUGAGGACUUUGAAUACAAUCUCAUUAACGCCGUUGAUGACACUGAACAAAUUGCAGAUGUAGAAAUUUCUACUUACGUGCCUCGUCUGAACCAUAAGGACUUUAAAAUUAAGAUUGAUGUUAGCAAUAACAAGGGCCAGGAAGUUCUAGCUACCGUUCGCAUUUUCGCCUGGCCUCACCUAGACAACAAUGGUAUUGAAUUCACCUUCGACGAAGGCCGUUGGAAUGCUAUUGAACUGGAUAAGUUCUGGGUCAAGUUGCCUGCUGGAACAUACCAUAUCGAACGUAAAUCCUCGGAAUCUGCUGUCACUGUGCCUGAUGUGCCUAGUUUCGCAACUCUCUUCGAGAAGACCAAAGAUGCCUUAUCCGGUGCAGACUCCGGACUUACAGAUUUCGAGAGUGCAACUGGUAUACCUAAUCGAUUCCUUCUCCCUAAGGGUAAUGAACAGGGUCUGGAAUUCGAUCUUGUUGUAGCCGGACUGGAUGGCCGCAGCCGAUGCAGCAGUGAUGGUCUCCACGAAAAUACCGAAUUCAUCACUACGUUCCCAUGGAAAGUACCCUGACAAUCGCCCACAUGGCUACCCUCUGGAUCGCAAGGUUCCCGACGAACGUGUAUUCGAAGAUCUUCCCAACUUCGGUCACAUCCAAGUUAAGGUCUUCAAUCAUGGCGAAUAUAUCCAACAUCAAUAGGAAGCUCUAUUUUAUCUACAAUAGUCCUUAUAACAUUUGAAAA